UACGUAGGGCGCAAGCGUUAUCCGGAAUUAUUGGGCGUAAAGAGCUCGUAGGCGGUUUGUCGCGUCUGCCGUGAAAGUCCGGGGCUCAACUCCGGAUCUGCGGUGGGUACGGGCAGACUAGAGUGAUGUAGGGGAGACUGGAAUUCCUGGUGUAGCGGUGAAAUGCGCAGAUAUCAGGAGGAACACCGAUGGCGAAGGCAGGUCUCUGGGCAGUAACUGACGCUGAGGAGCGAAAGCUAGGGGAGCGAACGGG
rnacentral:rRNA from 1 species